GUAAUCGCGGAUCAGCAUGCCGCGGUGAAUACGUUCCCGGGCCUUGUACACACCGCCCGUCACACCAUGAGAGUUUGUAACACCCAAAGCCGGUGGGGUAACCUUUUGGAGCCAGCCGUCUAAGGUGGGACAGAUGAUUAGGGUGAAGUCGUAACAAGGUACC
rnacentral:rRNA from 1 species